AUUGAACGCUGGCGGCAGGCCUAACACAUGCAAGUCGAACGAGUGGCGGACGGGUGAGUAAUGUCUGGGAAACUGCCUGAUGGAGGGGGAUAACUACUGGAAACGGUAGCUAAUCCCGCAUCCCAUCAGAUGUGCCCAGAUGGGAUUAGCUCGUGGUUGGAGUAACGGCUCACCAAGGCGACGAUCCCUAGCUGGUCUGAGAGGAUGACCAGCAACGCUGGAACGGAAACGCGGUCCAGACGCCUACGGGAGGCAGCAGUGGGGAAGAUGGCACAAUGGGCACAAGCCUGAUGCAGCCAUCCCGCGUGAAGGAAGAAGGCCUACGGGUGGGAAAGUACUUUCAGCGGGGAGGCGUUACCCGCAGAAGGAGCACCUGCUAACUCCGUGCCAGCAGCCGCGGGAAUAC
rnacentral:rRNA from 1 species